AAUGGCGGCUUCGUGUUCAGCAACGGUAAGUAGAUAUAAUAUUCUUUAUUAAUUAGUUAAUUAUAUUUGAUUCUUUCAAGUGUUUAUCGUUAAUGAAAUUCGAGAUUUUGUGAUUGUGGAUUGAGUGAAACAGUGAUAGUGUUUGUUCGCGCGAUUCGAAGCCAAAUAGUUGACACACGUGAACGAACGCUUCCCUCUUUCCGGAUGCGGCGCAUUUCACGCUUGCGACUUUCGAAAUACGUUGUGAAAAGGCUGGUUGAUUAAUAAUCAUGCCGAAUGGCUAGAACAACGAUAUUUACUUUGGCCGGUAUAUAGCCUUCUGUAGCGAUGUCUCUUUAGAAACUGCUGGUCAGAAAUGGUUGUACGAAGAUAACAGGUGCAGGAAGUCAUUCGGUGAGUCAUUUUCGUUUUACGUAACGGGACUGUGUAAGUAGAAAUUAGCAUCACUGUGGCGGGCAAAUUUGUGAGGUUAGAAUGGCAGACGUGUAAAUGUAAGAAGAAUGGAGGGAAUAGUGAAUGACCGAGGUGCAGUGUGCUUUGUUCUUGUCAAAUCUGAUAGCAACGGAAUUAUUGUGAUAAUUAAUGUGAACAGCUGAAGAAAUAACAUUGAAAUCACGAGUGAAGUGAAACACGAAUUUAACCCUAGAACGAUGGGGUCGAUCGGAACCCACGUUAAGAUAUUACAAGAGUAAUAUUUAGAAAGAUAUAAUAUAACGAUAGAAAGAAGAAUACAGUGUGAUUGUGCGGAAUGGUUGGGCAAAGUCUGCGGAAACAGGCGCACAAUUAACGGGGUCAAGUGGUUGAAGCAAAGCCCGCCUAUGACUGGUACAUGGUUUCUGCAUUAGAUCGACGCGUUCUUCGUUAACAACAAUAAAGAUACGUCCAGGAAGCGACACUUCCUUCGACGAGUGUCAAAAUCCGGUGUCAGUGAACGGCUUCUCCGCCGAGAUAGUGAAUUAUUUUCUGCAACGGAUAUCCAUUAUUUUCCUUCCUGGCUAAGUGUUGUGUCGAUUCAGACGUGCCAGGAGAUGUUGGAAGGGUCCGAGUCGAAUAAAGAAUAAUGGAUGGGGCUUGGUGACGUCGCGCGGAAGAUAUGAUACCUUCCUCUUUUGCCAGGAUUCACCAGGAUGACGAUAAUAAUAAUUUGACCUGGAACGUCUGCCUAGCGAAAAUCUAUGACCUUCGUGAAAUUGGAAAAUUGAAGGAUCGAUUCGAAAAGAAAUCUACCAUCUUUAUCCUUUCGUGAUAAGUAAUUGUGGAUACAUCUUGGAUAAACGUUUGUCAAAUUUUCACGAUCUUUCGAAGAAAAUAAUUAAAAAAAAGAAAAAGGACGCUAAGAAUUGAUUAAAUCAACACGUGCUUCGAACAGCUUCGAUAAUAUUCCAAUAUAAUAAGGCUAGUAAGCUAACCGGUCCCAAUAAAUGUAAAAUACCAGGCGUAAAUUAAUCACGUAAAGCAGGCGGCAUGCAACAGCCAUGAAAGGCAAGAUAGAAUUUCAUAUUUGUUUAAAAAAAAAAGAAAGAGGAAGAAGAAGAGAACGAAAAAGAAAGCUCGUCCCGUUUAAAUUCCCCGGCCGAUGAUGCUGAUAAGACGCCACUUAAAAGCGAUGAUUCAUCGAGGGCAUAGAAGAAAUGAGGCACAGGUGUGACAGAAAAAUAUUAGCGUCGUUUUAGCCAUACAAAUGGAAUCUUUAUUUCCACGGCGUGGAGAGUUUGGAGAUAUCACCGUGAGAUUAGCUGCUCCUCUCGCUGCAUAAUUAUCGUGGCAGCACUGCGCAUGCUCGAAUUAUCUACGAUCGGUAUCGUCCACGCGGAAGGGCAGAUGCGAAGAUCAAAUUAGGCUCUCGUUAGAAACUCCACGUUAUGUUCUCUGUUUGCUCGCUCUUUGGAAUAAAGGCCAGUCGAAGGUGUAGGUAACACGAGGCGUAUUGUAACUUUAAGUUGAAGAGGGUGGUUUCGCUUCUGACACCUACGAUCGGCCUCAGAUAGUCCAACCUUGGUACACCUGACUUAACAGGUCUUAGAGAAUUUAGAACGAGUGUAAUAAGUUUCGACUCGAAUGACGCCUCUUCGUCAUGUGGAAGUGGUAGGUACACCUUGUAGCCUUCCUAGAAGAGACCUAAACUCAUUUGAUCAAGUUUUGAUUGCCAUCAACAAAUGUCUUAAGGGUAUAAAUUUUACUUUUAAGCUAUUAAGAAAUUGUAUCUUCCUUCAUGACCCAGGCCGUGUAAACGAAUACCGACAAGCGGUCGCAAUUUAACGUUGAAAUGAUAUUUUUCCGAAUUGUAGGUGCACGAUAUAAGCUAUAAAAGCGUACGAGUGACAUACGGCCAGGCUCCGGGCCAAAAUCACCUCCGACUUGAUGGAGUGCUCGGUGAUUCCCCUGCUCCUCGACCUGCCUCCCCUUCCACGCACCACGUCCGAACGUCUGACCAACGUCCGACGUGUUUGUUCGCCCCUGAAUAAAGCGGCUUUCCUCUGCCCGGCAAACGCUUCUUAUCGAGGAAAUAUCAUUUUAUUUCAUUUAUGGCCAUAACGUCCAAAGGGGAUCUCACUUUUAUUGGCCUUUCGAAUCUCGAUCGUAUAUUUCAGCUUCGAAGCGUCGAACCCCUUUCGAUUCGACCGUCUCAUCAAACUUUUAAUAUUUCCUAAAUCAAAUAAUGGAAACCCGAAGAAGGGUUAAGUCAAUCGAAAGAUAUCGAAAAGCAGCAAACACUAUCGCGGAUGUUCCAUCGGUCGUGAAACAUGAAAAUUGUUAUUCCCGAGCCUAGCAGAGGAACUGGCGCGCAUAAACUCGAAAUCCGAUGUUUCACGUGCCAUAUUCCGGUAAACUAGCAUCUCCGUGCCGCGGCUGGUGUCACGUACACACGAACGAAUCACGUCCCGGGCCCUGCUGAUCCGUAUCAUCCAGGACGCGUGAGUUUCGAAGCCGGUCGAUCGAAUAUUUUUGCUAGAAGCGAUCACGUUCUACCUGCGAUUUCGCAUGCCAGCUUCGCGACGCUUUCUCAAAAGCACGUGCACCAUAACCCUUUGAAUUAUUGGCAAUCUCCUACUUUAGUAGGUUAACGUUGACUUUGAACGUUUUGCGGAAGCUGAGUGAAUUUGUUGAACCGUCGGUUCAGGGAGGUUGGGCUAUUUGAGUAAGUGGGGCACGGUAUUGAAUUGAUAGAGUGAUAUUACAGGAUAGGAAAAGGAAGCAAGAUUGGACUGCCGAAUCAAAUGGCUAAAGUAAAAUUCAAUGACACUAAAAUAUUACUUAAUAAUAAAAGCCAGAUACUUUUGUUACAAGAAUAGAGAGAAAAACUAAUCAGGAUAUAAAGUAUCGGCAAAACGGAGACAGAGUUGCCCAAGUAGGAAAUUGCCGGAGCAAUGAAGUGGAACACAUGAAGCGAGCGAGGCCACCAUAGCCGAGAAUUUCCAUCCAGAAAGCGACGGCGUACGAUCACGAUGACCGACAGCCGGAUUCGUGAAAAAUAUGGAGCGAGAGUGGAAUUCCACAUGCGUCUCGCUCGACUCCGGUUAGGUCAGCUCGAUGUCGUGUCGUUUCUCGCUUAUUUCAUAUUCCAUGGGGGCGCUGCUCUUCAUGUUUUCCUCCUCUACCGCGCCGCGCCGUGUCAGCCGAAAAUCCGCGACAUUCAUUCAGCACGUUUAUCGAUGCUUGGAGAAGGAAAAUUCUCGGCUCGUUUCCGCGGCAAACCAUAAAGUGACGCUUUCCCCUUAAGAAUAUAAACUUGUUCGCGGCUGAUAUAGCGAAUAUUAUGUGGUUGACGUCAAAUGGGAAUGGGAAGGGAUAAGGGGGAAGUCGAACGGAUAUGCGGGCUUCGCUCAUGGGAGUAUUACGGAUUCAAGGUGAGUAGGGGUCCCACGAAGUAACCCGAGACAUCAGCGGGGUAAUAUUUCCAUAUUCCGAUAUCGAAUAAAUGGACCGUUGGCGGGCGUGCGACGCGGGCAUAAAUCCUUAGGCUACCCGUCAUGCAUCACCGGCUAGCCGGGAAAGAUUCGAAGUCAGGCGGGGGUGGCAGGUGGUUUCCUCUUUUGCAUUCCUUAGAAACCCUCGCUUCUCUUCGACAAAUCUAACGAGGUUAUUGUUUUUCCCUAUAUUUUCUAUUUCCUUUAUUUAUAAGAGCAUAUUAUCACAAUUGCUACAAUUAAAAUAAGUGGAAUGAUCCACUGGAUGAUUUUCAUUCAUGCGGAUCCAACUAAAAAUUCAACUGGAAGCAAAAGCUUAUUCACAUAAACGGCUACAUUAAGCAACAAUGGUUCACCUUUCAAGACCGUCACCGAUCGAUGAAUGAAAAGGACCAUCUAUGGAAUUUAAAUGCACCGUAUCCGCGAGAACAUCAGAAAUUCACAGUGGCCCUUUUAAAAGUCACCAGAUUAACCUAUUCAAUGUCUGAAAGAUGAUUGAAACGAACCGAACGAUCGGAUAUUCGUACGAAUUAAUCGGCUGCCUUCGAAAAGUCAUGGUUCGUCGAUCAAUGGUCGACCCAUGCCGUCCAGUUCGAUGGGUCAACGUAUUGGCGACGAGAUAAGAACUACCAGUCCCAGGUUCCGACAGCUGAUCAACGUGCCUACUGCUCGUUUUCUCUGCCGAAGGAACUUUUUGCAUGCUACACGCACGCUUUCGCUGCGAUACGAACGAUCAAGUUCUACUGCAACCCGAUGGCGGGAACAAAUUGGUCACGUGGCUAUACGGUGUUUUCUAUGCUUUGAACUGAGAAGCUGAUAAAAUAGUCAAUAUUUAACAUUUCGACAGGAUGUCGCGUGACACGAUGUCAAUCAUCGUGAUCAUGACACGAUUGGAUGAAAAAGAAGAAAGUGUUGAAAGAAUUAUCAGCGUGACACAGCAUCGAGGAUAAGUGUCUGUUAAGUUAACCGAAAGCUGAAAGCAAGAGGAUAGCCGUUCGAGCGGGUCGUUCUAAAUCCAAAACCGUACCACGCUCGCUUUUCUCGGUCAUCGAUCUUGACCCUCUCACGGCCGCCUAACUAAAGAACUUUCAGGGUGAGCUACCCUUAUUCCCACGCGUUCAAGAGAACGACGCAUCGCGUCGCGUCGCGUCACGGUUUUCGUGGCAACAAAUCCCGAGGUAGUGUGCAGCAUCCAAGAGGAACACAGAGAGGAGUCCUCGGGGCAGAGAGAGCCGCUAAGUGACUAAUUAAUCGGCGAUAGCCUUUCACCGCGAUGUUAUUAAUGCGCCUGAAAGUAAUACACGCGCGUGGUAGACCAUUAAAACGCCAGAGGUGAAUUUACAAGUCGCGAGCCGCUUAGUUUACGACGAACCGCUUAGGACUGGGUAGCUCGACGCGGCUUGGCAACGAUCCCUGUUUUCUUGUCGCGCCUUCAACACUGCCUGACACGUUCGACCUGGGCCUGGAACACAAGGCCACGGCCCUGCACUCCUUUGAAAUAAACAUUUUACAAUACCUUAUCCUUAUACUCUACCAUCUACCUUUUUAAGCUUAUGUUAAAUUUCAUUGCGAAUAUUGUUAAGUGAAUCCCGCUGGUGACAAUUGCGAUAACUACCAUCCUCUAAUACCUCAGUUUGUUCAGUAAAACGAAGCAUUCACCUCUGCUUUCAAUUCCCCGUUUCGGAUCGCAGAAAAGAAAACAGAUCCAGACGAGGUAAUUGGAUGAUAACCAACAGACGUGACGGUCCGCGUCAUGGCAGACGAAAUUAAUACGCAGAUUAUCCGGGAACGGUAAUAUUCAGGCAGCAGAGCCUUUAGUCCUGUGCCUAAUUUCUGUCUUCCUUCGCAACUUAUAAUUCAAGCGCGCAGACUGGAACCGAACUGAACAGAACUACGGCAACUUGCGCAACGGUAAUUAUACACUUUCAGCCCCGGUUCCCGCGCGCUACCUGCCCGUCUGGCUGGCUGCCUGUGCGCCCUUAAAUUUCGGUUUAUUUAUGUCCCGGCUGACGGCUUCACGCUUUGCCCUCGUCCAGUCCUCGGAUGAAUCUCGCGAGUAAGGAACUGCAACUUGCUUUUCCCUUGUGAGAUACUAUUCUAACUUGGAUGCUGUUUUAACGUAACCAACCUGAUCUCUUUUCUAACCUAACCUCAACUGCGAAGUUUAAUUUUAGUUCCCAUCUCAUGGAAAUAUGCCAUUUGGAUAUUUGAGUGUCAUUUUUCAAGAUGACCGCGCCAGCGCAAUUAUAAUGGAAAAUGGAAGAAUCCACGACAAUAAGGGUAAACGGAAUAAGAAGUAAGCCGAGAAAGGUGGCUAGGCAAGAUUUAAGAGGCAGACCCCCCGGGCCAGUAAUUCUUAUAACAGCAUUAAAACAGAGCACUUUAAUUUACCGCACUGUAGCUUUCAUUCCUUGUGCUCAAAUAGUCUACGUCGACUUCCAUUCUUCGCGCGUGUUAUAUAGGGUGACGGCAUCGAGCUUCCGACGGAAACUCUCGGAAUGCGUUCCGGCCGCAUUAAAACCAAGGAAAGCUAUUAACGAAACGUUCUGUUCCGUCUUCAGGUGAAAUUUUGAAAUAUUAAAACGUGUCCGCUUGGCUAAUUCAACGUUAUCCCGGCGAAGGGUGUCAUCAGUCAUUGUUCGCGAUUAACCUAACCUUCGGUGACGUUGCAAAACAAUGGCGUCGCGAUGCUACAAAAUUUACUGUAUCUGGCGCCGCUUCUAUAUUUACGAUGGGCAGCAGAGAACGGGCGAUAACUACGUGAUCCAACGGGGCGUCUCCAGCAUAUGCUGGCUCGGUGGAGAUGCUCCUUCCGCUUUUCAUUCCACUCCACGCCCUUCGUGUUCAAAUUAAAACGCGAACCGAGCCAGCCGUACGUGCGAGCAGCGCGAUGCUCGCAAAUACGUCGUCGACGGUAAAUAAUUCCUAAUUAGUCUGUCGCCCAGGCCAGGACAACAACAAUGGAGACGCAUCGUCGCGUUGCUGCAAGGAGGUGGAAUCGCGGUACGAGCGCGAGUCGCAUCUCUUGAUUCUCUCUUUCUGCUCGCUGCAUUUGCACCGCUUGCGAAGGGGAUCUCGCGAGGGGAACGGUUAAACCGAGCAAAUUGUGAUCUUAACUCGCUGCACUGAUACCGGAUACAACUUCCAACCAGGACAGUGCCGAGACGUUAACGAACGACUGUUUUGAGUAGGUGUGGUAGCAAGGUACAAGUUGCUUCAGAAAUGACUGGCUAGCUACUGCUCAAAGAUGUAUCUUUUUGAUACAUGUAUAAGGUGCUUCAAAAACUUGGAAAAUAACACAAGAUUUUGAGUUGAUCCAAAUUUUGAAGAGUACCAAAAUAUUAAGCAACGUACAGGAAGUUUAAAAAAGAAUGUACGAACCCAUGCGCCAUCAUACUGGGAUAAUUAAUUCUAACGAAGCUACUGGAAACGAAGCGAAGGUGGUUAUUCAAAUGAAACAUCCGCAGAAGCAGCGAAAGAAGAAAAAGAAGGGAUCAAGGCAGCAGCAGUAGCAACAGCAGCAGAAGAAGAAGAAGAAGAAGAACAAGAAGAAUAAGAAGAGGACGAAGACGAAGAAGAAGAAAUUGCUAUGCGGGACGCGGCAGAGCAGCAUAACGGUAAGUCCUCGCUGGCAAACGAUCGUGGUGUCAUUGUGCCGUCACAAUGCAAGGUUAUUCAUCUGAAAUUCUCACGGCGACAUCAAUCCUAUCGCUCGAUAGAAAUCUCCCCUCUGCGUGCCGAGUAUUCCAGCUUCAUUAGAAAGACGUGGCCCAUGAAUAUGCGCGAUGUGACCGACCUGAUCAAGCUGCCAUAUCGCGUCACUUAUCCGUGCAGACGAUUUUCCCUGUAAAUGCGACAACACGUGUGCUGCGAAUUUUGACGGAAGUCUCAGGUGUCGCGGCGUAGCUGAUUUCUUCUGCAGCCUGAUGCUGUCCAUUCAAAUCAGUAUCUUACUUUUCAUUACUACAGCGAGAAUUAAACUGGGAAUUAUCCAGCGUUACCUAGGUAACCCCCCCGUUAAUUGUCGCAGUGCAGACCUUUAACUCCACGCUACCACACCGAAGUAUACUUUGCUCAAAAUGAGCACUUUUUGACGGACUACCUUCGAGGCAAGGAAAAAAAAUAGAGCCAGUAAUGGCGGCCUUCUAUAUUUCUUCGCGCAAUCAAGACAUUUCUGGGUAAUUUGUGGCCGUAGAAGGUGGAUACUUUGCUGGGGCUACAUAGCAAGGAUCUAAUAUACCCGGCUCAUAAUCAUUAAUCACCGGAGAGAAAUCACCUUGGUCGUUUUUUUCUUCCACCAAGUUACUGGAUUGUGUAUAGAGACCUCUGACGAGGGUAUAAAUCAUUUAUAGUAAAUGGCAAAUACUAUUAUCGGAGAAAACCAUAGAAGUCUGAAAACAAUCUCGAAAAAACAGUUUAACGUAUGAAACAUAAUAAAAAUCAACUGAUUUUCCAUGGAAGACAAAGAAAGUUAGAUUCCAUUUACUAAAUCAUACGAUUUAACCGCAGCAAAAUAUUCGCUAGCGGACUGGCCAAGUAUGGCCGACUUUAAUGACCGUGCUUAAGGGAUGAGAUGGACGAACGGGUCAUUUCGCGAGGACAUUUAUAAAUGACAUAGCAGCGGGACGGCGAUAUAACCCGACUUGACUGGCGCCCUGUUCCGGCCAAAGAGGAAGCAGGGGUUGCGACGCGAAAGGGGGUAGUAGUAUGGGGGCGGUGUGCGCGGAUCUGAAUCGGCCAGGGAAACUCUGAGGAUAGUGGUUUUAGAUACAUACCCCGUGUACAUAGUUGGUGCACACAGACGACCCGACCAUGCACAUUCGGAGGUUGCUUGGUAAUGGCUUCGGUUUAUUAAUGACCGGUCAGCUGAGUUAGCAACCGGCGUGUAUUCCACGCGAACCACCCUUAACGCACGCCUACCCCAUCCAAAGCGAUUGCAAAACCCAUAGACAGAGAUGAGAGUUUUGCUUCGUCAAGAAACUCGCUGAUGGAGCAAGAAAUAGUUUGCUACCUACUUUUUCCAUUUCCUAUGUUAUGCAAAAAACUGUAGAAAGUACAUUAAUUCCCAUAAAGAAUAGUUUACAAGUAUUUAAGGACACCUUUUAGCUGGUGUGUUUCAGCCAUAUUUUAAAGUUAACCUCGUACGAGGACCACGAAUGGAAAUGGGUUAAUUCAGAUGGAAAAGGAAAAACGAAAAGGAACUUUUAAAGUAAAUAAUUAAAUGUGAUAGAAUUGAAAGACAAGUCACAAGUACUUUGAUCUCUAAUUCAAUUGUAAACGUCAACGCGUCAUCGUAAUUUGAUCGUUUACGCAGCUCGGGGCGUCGCAUGUUCGACUAACGAAACACGUAUCACCGUUCCUCCUGUGUUUACAGUGGAAAAAACGAAAAGCGCGCUAACCCAUCAUUACGAUUCCUCUCCAAUCGAGGAAUCGAGGAAUCACAAUGACCCCUGGACGACUCUAAUUCAGUCGAUGCACGACGCAAUUGUUGCAUAUGUUCACAUGCCGUCAUGCGUGCUUCCAAGUAACCAAUAGACACGAUAGGGUUAAGGGAAUCCGUAAUUAUUGCAGAAUUUUUGUUUAACCAUCAUCGACAAAUUUACGCCUAAUUCAUCUUAUCCUUGAAACGUCAUAUUUUGGAAAACAGUAGGUGGAAUAGUAAGCCAAAGCUAACUUAAAUAAUAAGACAAAACGGAAGGAUUCAGUUCGUGGCUACAGCUCGUUUACUUUCUUUCGAUCUACCACCAUAGGACAAACGUUGCAAACGAUCAAAGCGAGCAAGGCAAUAAUUCAAAUGGUCCAGGUUCGUUCAUGUAAAUGGCCUAGCUAUAGUGCAUUCAUACACACAUGGAAAGUGACCUAAGGGAAACGUCACAUUCGUUCGAACGUCUGCUCUAGUAGCACGUCAGACGUCUAAUAUAUUGACGUUAAACGUGGAACUGUUGCCGAGAUGUGUCUCGCGGCAAACAGGGGAGGGUUCUGCUCGGAUGUGAAAGGAUCGGAAUGCGAGCAAAGGACAUUAAGCUCGGCCAGCGUCGGGACGAAGGUCUCUUUGUCGCUGUCAAGCUCAGAUUUGAGGAAAAAUAACGCGAUGACACGCGAGCCAUUGUGCUCGGAUCUCGGACGAUGACUGGCGCUGCUCGUUGUGGGAAUUUCGUUGGCUCUCUGUUCACGUGCCGCCUAUUAGGUUGCACUAUGAAGGAACGGUUUGAAUACCGGAGGUUAUGUUACCCGAUCGCUACCUGUCCACCAUCGCUGAGUAGUUCCAACGAGUGUAUAUUAAUUCGACGCCUUUUAACUUCACUACCUUCAACUUUUUCCCAAUAAUUCUUUGUCAGUUUCAUGGAUUUCAGAAAAUUAUUAUUCGUUAAUCGAUUACCAUCGAUUCGUUAAUAUUUGUCUCGUUUUUUAAUCGAACGAUAACUAUGCCCGUACAUAACUUAAAAUAAAAUAUUUUAUCCAACGUUUUAUCUUCCACGAGUGCACGUCCUGGAAUGUUCCCGGUAGUCCCCGACAAUGAGCCGCCCCGUUUGCGGAUAUUUUUCAUUUCGUAUGAUCGAUAAGCUACUCGAUCGCGUUCCUCGUCGAAAAAUGGCUGAGUAGAAAAACUUGUUCUUGUCACCGGCCGGGCUUCUGACACCUGUUAGCCCGCGAAAUUUGAUCGAUCGACAACGACAACAACGUCGAUACUCUUCUAUAAGUCUCCACGGGGAAGAGUCUGGCGAAAAAAGACGCACAUUUGACAAACAGUUAUGGUAUGGUUCCAUAUAUGGGGAAUACACGCCAGGCGGAUCGUAAUACGGUGUGGAUGGCCCGGUACAAGUAGAAUCAUGGAAUACAAGCUUUCCCUCUCAAAAUUGACGAGAUACUUUCUCUUUGAUACUUUGCCUUCGAUCAUACGUAAGAUCGUUACAAGGUAAGGUUAGGUUAGUUUGGAGGAAUAGUUAGCGCCAUCUACAACUCAAGUGCAACAAAGGCUUCCUUUGGUUUUAGUCAUUUAGUUGCCAUUUUAGAGUUCAUAAGGUGAGCAGAGUACGAGGUCGCGACGUCUAGGUCUAUGUUGACGCUCGUCAUAGUCUCACGGCGCUAAACGAUCGCAAGUUUAACGAGUGUCGAUGCAAAUGCGGCGAAUUGUCAAGCCAGACCACGCGUGAACAUGGCGCGGCGAUCAGUGGAUAUUGAAUUCGAAAUUCCCCGAUUAUCGGUGCUCUAUUUGUUCUACUAUCUGGCAGCGAGGCACGUAGCCGCGAUCGGCUUCCCGCCACUGAAAUAUGUCGUUUGCGGUGACGUGAAGGUACGCGACGAGUGCGUCGCAUAUGUAAUUCCUACUUAGAGUCGACAUUACGGUAAUAUACGGCGCAUUAACCAAGUUUCUGCCUUCGACUCGCUCGACCGCCCUUUCUCUUCGCCCUCCCUCCUCCCUGCUCCUCGCUCUCUUUCAACAACUAGCCUCCCGUCCCGACCUCUCACGUUCCCUCCCAUCGGCGAGCUUCACGUGUUCGUUUCAUCAGGUGUUUUUUUUUUUCAUGCUUCUCACCGGAUACGUACGUGUAAAAUGAAAAAGAGUGUUCUUGUCGUGCGAGACCGGUGUCAGACACGCGCUGGCCACGUCGAAUUCCGCUUCCUGGCUACUAGCUUCCCAUCAUGCCCAUUGCUGAACUUGAAAAUUAUUUCCGUUUACGGAUUUGCCCUUAGUCAUGGCGUAUUUGGAAUCUACUCCGCUUUAAUUGUCUUCCUUUAAACACUGGAGGGUUCCAGUAGGUCUCAAAUCGGACCAGUGAACCGACGAGACGGGUCACUACAUCUAUGUCCCUAGUCCAGUGAAAAAAAGUGUUCCUUUAACAGAUUGACAAGGAUGAUAGUGAGUAAUCGGUAAUCAUUACCGUGUCAAUAUCGAGGGAACGGCAGACGGUUGGUGAAACAGGGAUGCUUUUCAAUUGGCGGCCAUGGCGUGGCAAUCGACAUGAAUUUUGAAGCGUAUCUGAUAGCAGCACGGUGCCGCCUAAAUAUUUGAUGAAACAUUCCGGCCGCAAUAUGGGGCCCCGCAUUUCCCCGGAAAACGCCGUGAUCUCCUGUAGCCGGCACACCAGACCGCCAUUACUUUGAUACAUAACCUCGCUUCUCUCCGUCCCUCUCCCGCCUUCAUAUAUUGAUAGCGAGAAUGCAUUAUUGAUGCAUCGGUUAUAUUUAUGGGGACAAUUUAAAGCUCGCCAAUCAUUUCUCGGCAGCGAAUCGAUCGUGCGGCCGCGGUCGUUCGUUGAACCGGGCCGUAUUAAAAAUUCAAACGGAACGGCGGGAAAAUUUGAAAUGCGACGCGUGUUCCUGCGGCCUCGAACGCAUUAAUGCAUGCAGUCAAUUACGCGCGGACAGAAAGGAGAUGAUAAUUCCAACGAAGUCACGCUCUUUCGUCGAAUUUUAAAACAAACAACACUCGGAUUCAUGAAUAAUCCAAGGAUUUUGAAACGUUAACACUUGGACGAUAGCGUUUCUUCUUGCGAUCGGUUUGCAAAUUCGUCGAAAGCAAAGGCGAGCCGCAGCUAUUUGUACAGCCACGAAAGAGAAGACUGUUAUUGUUUAAUAUUUCAUGGAUGUUGAUGGACGCAUUCGCGUGUGGAGAGGAAUACCGAUCCCCUAUGGCGUGUAGGGACAAAGUUGAUUUUUAUGUUCGAAUAUCGAGAGACUCAGACGAGACUUGUCAGAUGCGUGGGGCCGAAGGGACAUGUAUGAAAAGGGUGCGAGAAUGGGGAGAAAGUGAACGUGUCGUAGCGAACGGAAACGUUCUCAGGAGGCUUAAAAUAAAUCCGAAGACAAAUAAUUGCGAUAUUAAUUAAAUAUUCACGGUUACACUUUUGUACGGUGAAAAAUUACUUAAUUUUUUUUUUUUUACAACAAUGAAAUUCUGUUAAAAGAUAAAGAAGAAGGUGAGUGCAGAAUAGCGAAAGCAAUUUCACAAAACGACACCUCUUCUGUCGCAAUGGAAGGAUCCGGUGGCGCUAUCUCGACAGUCGUUGCACGCCCCGGGUGUACCUAACCUCUGCGCAGAUUUAUAUUCGCCUAAUCCUGGCGCAAUAGCAUGGACCAACAGCGAGGAGGCUGCGUCCAACGAUGAGGGGCUCUCUUAAUUGAAGUAUACCUUAUCUAAAAACUGGUGAUCCCGCAGAACCGCGAGCCAGCAAGACCUUUGAUCCGUUAAGGUCUGCUUGGUCGUGAUUGCGGGCUCUUGUCUUCUCUUAUAAUUGAUAUUGGCUGGACGGUGCGGGCGUCGUCGUUGUGCGAGCCAGCCAGAGAAGGAUGCCGGACAGGGAGAGACAGAGACAGAGAGGCUUCGAUGGCCUCUGGAAAGGCCGGAAUCCUCUAAUCCCCGAUGGUCCCGUCUUCGAGAAUAGUUGGUAAUCCCGCUGGAUAGUUGGAGAUCACCGAGUUACACCGGACACACUUGGAGCCGGGGGCUUUUAUUGGCAGAUGCUGCUAAGGUGGAUGUCUGAAGAGAAUUUCGACUUGAGCAACUCGCUGCUUGCAGUCGCUAGUUGAAGUCGAACGCGGAGCCAAUAGGAACGCGAACAGUUUCGAGGCUGUGCUUGUGCCCGAUCGAGCUGGAAAGCGCUUAAUGUCCCAAGUCCAGAUCUAACCCAGGCUAAAGACUUAUACCGGUAUACUUAAUGCACGCGGUCUAAGACGGGCCAAACGUGGCUGUACACAGUUUCCAGCAACUGUAAGGUUCUAUUGAAUCUUGUAAAUGGCUCAGAUCCCCUCGGAUCCGAUCUCAGAUUAGUCCUGUCUCUAUGUUUAAGAAGGUCCAACGUUUCCCGCCGAGUAUAUCGACUGGAAUGCUCGCCGUAUUUGCCUUACUGUCAUUAAGAACAACUCCUGAUGAAUAUGUUUAUAGCAGUGUUCACUUUUCUCUUGGAUCUCCCAAAGUACCUAUUUACUGAUGUGAUUAAUGAAAGAAGAUUAGAAGACAGAAGACAGAAUUAAGAAUUAGAAGAUAGAUUGGUUUGGCCUUUAUCAGCAUUGCACGAGCAACGAACAAAAUAUGAUGUCUGGGAUAAAACGUGCGGUCAGAUUUGUCCCUUAGCAUCCAUAGCCAUCCCCAAGAUAGGGACUGAUUCGCACGUGUUGAGGAUCAAGUAGAUAAUUCUUCGUCCCAGUAGGACGAGCCCAAUCUUGUUACCAUUGCUCCAUAAUCGAACGAUAACCGAAAGAAUACUUUGAUCAAAGUGGAAGGUCAUCAACGAUUGAACAAAUUUGACGAAACGAAAUGAUUGCAAAUAUUGAAAUUGAUCAGUCUGUUAGAAAAACAUGACAGAUAGUUAAGAAAUGGUUGAAAAUAGCCGGUGGCGCCUCACCUUCCUGGAACAAACGAGGCAAAAUUUCCAUAAAGGUUAAAGCUUGGCUUUGCCCGCUUCCUGUCGCCCGUACCACCAUAAUCGCAUAUGCUGUGAACACGCCAUAAGGCGUGGACGUUUCGAUGUGCGAAACCACGCCGCGCACCCCGUGUUCCCUGUCUAAAUUCGUGAGGACAUUUAUGAGGAUGCGCCUGCAAGAUCUUAUCGGCCAUGAAAAAUUCAACGUUUCAUCUGUCCCACGAACCGGACUGCCCUGCCGAUCUGCAUUAAUUUAUUUAUACCGGCCACUUAAGGGGCCCUCGAAUAAAUUUGACGGACGCUUUAAAAUCUGGUAGGUACCAGCCGAGAAUUGGUUAGAAUUUCACGCCGACCGGAAAUGACCUGCCCUUUUGCCAUUUUAUUUUUUUUUUACUUUCACUUAUUAGAGAUGGACUUCGACUUUUGCAAUUUUUAAUCAAUAAAAAUAUUAACUGGGAUGCAAAAUAUCCUGACCAUAUUUGUGAACGUAAAUUCAUAGUAAACACCAUUCAUAAGUCACCAGGAAGGAAUUAAUGACGACACGUUUAUAGUGGUGGCUCAUAAAAAAGCCGAAACGAGUUUCGGCCUGGAACGUGCUGAUCAUGAAAUAAGGACUUUAACUUUUUCGAUUUCGCGGCCCGAUAUCGAGCCGUUUCUACCUGUAUUAGUCGCCAAGCAUACAACCCCAUGGAUUCUCAUAUGCACUUACUUUUCAUUGCUGACCCAUCGUAUGUAAUAUAAUAUGUAUCGUAGUCUGUGACUCCCUAUGGAACACUGCUCGCCCACGUUUCUUCUACGGCCAGCUCCUAAACCCUGCCACGCUUUCGUUCGUAAACGAAAACGAGUUUGCUCGAUCUUGAAUUCUCACCGCCCAGGCGCGCCCGUGGGAUUUCUCUGUUGAACGAGAAAUUUUCGAAGAAAUAUGUAUCUCUUCCUUUCUUUCCGUCGCAUAUUUAACGAGGCGCAACGAUCGAGUGGGAAAAAUGCAACGGGAAGAAUCGGUUAAUCCGCAGGACCUUAAAGUUCCAGCAAAGGCGGUCUCUAUAAAUAUUUCAAGAGCGUAGGGGGAGGCGGAUACAUCUCGAGGGGGUUGAAGCGCGACUUCUUUUUCUAUUAUGCCGUGAUUUUUUAUUGACGAAGUGGACACUGCGGGUCCGGAAGACAUCUAUUACUUUGUUGCUCUUGCUAGCUCUCCCUGGUAUACUGCGAGUCCGACGAGGGUGGAAAGUUCGAAGGAAGACCGACGGGGGUGGAACGGGGACAGUUUUGUCCCAGGCGUGCAAUACUCGGGGCCAUAGAUCACGCAAUAUCAGUUGUCAGGCCGGAUCGAAUGGCCGGGAGGGUGGACAACUGGACACCGACUACCCCCGAAGUGCGAGUGAUGACCCUCGAGGGAGGCCAUGCAAAAACUGGUCCUCGCCAGCCUCCUCCCUUCCGCGCUUUCACCUUUGCUGUUUAUGGCGGAGGACACAUAAAAAGGAAUAUGUAACGAGCGCGGAUAAUUCACCGUUCACUCUGCUGGGACCCCCGUCCACCGAGGGUGGCGCUUCCUUUUUUUUCUUCUUUUUUUCUCCUUUCUCUUGCACGCCACUGUGGGUAUGCCUUUUUUCCUCGAUAUUCCUAUCCCUGCAGACCGUGAACGCGGAAUUGCCGCGUCGCCUCGAUUCACCGUUGACUUAUUUAUGCGAUCGUCUAUCGUGUGAAACAAUGUUAAGGCAUACGAGGGAUGCUUCGGACCUUUGCUGACCAACUGGUGACCAAUCGGAAUAGUGAGUCCCUUGUCAGUCGAGGAAGAUGCACUUUCCCGGGAAUAUAAAUUCGAUUUGCCUUUCCCAACUACCCUGCUGAUUGCUCGCUGAGUUAUUUCUGCUAGCUUGAUUUCAACGAAUUUCAAACGACCUUGGGAAUCGGGCAUAUGUUACUUCAUCGAAAUAGGAGAUGAGCUAUAAAGAUCCUCCUAUUCGUACGCGUCAUUUUUUCUUCGGUCUUAUUUCGAAUGCUGAUCGCUACGAAUAACUAAUGGAGAUUCUCCGUAAGUGGCACACUCAUCGAGACUGUACGGCCGCUCUAUAAACGUCGAAACAAUCCAGCCGGCUUCAACGCGGCCGUAAAUCCUGCCCUGUUCAUUGGCCAAGUCCACGAGGCUCUUUCGAUCUCGCCUCUUUUUUUUUUCUUUUUAACCGCGUCGAGCUAGCAGACGGGGAAAGAUAACGUUCGGAUCCGCUCGAUCCGCCUUGCAGAAGCGUUGGACAAAGCGACAGCGUUGCGCGCCAAAAUUAGCACGGAACAAUGCACGCGGUCGGAUUCAGAGACGAGGACUGCCAUCCCUCCCUCCCUGUUCCUUUACUUGUUCCCGAUUUCGUUCGCGCUACUCGCCACCUUCUUUUCUUUUCCUUCUCCCCAUAUGAUCGAGACGCUGGCGGAAAUUGCUCUGCCCUCCGUCGCCCUGCUCGCCACGCAUGCCGCGGUUGCACGGCUAUCUAUAGAGAACGGGGCACGCAGCACGCGACGAUGCAUCGUUCCGCUUCUUCCCGCCCCGGCUACUUUCUUUACGCUUAAACGGCUGCGAUCCGUUCACCCAAUGUCACUAUUAUUAACCCUUUCAAUUCUAUGAAUCUGGACAUGGUGCUUCAGACACCAGCUACAUUGUUAAGUAUCUUGCCAAUCUAUACUCUUAUAACUUGUUUUUCGGAGAAAUACCACUUCGAAAGAAGUUCCAAACAGAAAAUAACGAAUCGCGAAGGGCAAGAAUACUUCUCGUCCCAUCUUUGCUUCUAAACGUCCCAGAUCGACCGUUCCCCUAGCAGCGUUCCCUCGUUUUCGACAAAAAGUCAACUAAUUACAGCUAAUGUAUUCCGUCGGGCACUCGCGAGAUACAAUAAUCGUCGGGGAGGGAGCAAGCGGACCGGGGGAAUGGGAACGAAGCCGGCGAAUUGAAAGUUUUUGCAUCGGAACGUCCCUCCGAGAAUUACGCUGGAUGCCGAUGGGGAGUGAUGGGGAAGUUUACAGUUUAAUUUGCCGGAAAAUUAUUGAAGGAAGUCGGUACGGGUACAAAUCAUAACGCUCCGUGAAUCCGUACACCGGAUAUCCCUUUUCCUCCCCACCAACGAACGUUCGAUCUCUCUACAUCACCCAAAUGACUUCUGCCCGACGACGACGCGCGUCUAAGUGUGCGUGUGUAUCCGCGAAUUCAUCCUGGAUUAUCUGCCGUGAAAUUGUCCGAUUUGACUCGCAUGUUCCAUGGCACGCUAUUUGUUUCGUCACGUUCUUCGUGCAAUAGGGAUAUUCGCAAAAUGCAAUCUGAAUUUUUAUUUCAUUGAUUUUUAUUAUUUCAUAUACAACCAAUAAUUAGUAUCAAGUAAUCAUUUUUAUGAAAGAAUUAGUAAAGCUGGAAAAAGCGUUCUUAUUAGUAUCUCUUGCUGCAACACUUGGAGGUCCGGCCAACUUCCAAGCAGUCGGUGGUGUGUUGACACAUGGCACCAAUAUCGCGUGGUUAUCCGUUGAACCGAUAGCACCUGUUAACCAAGUAAACCGGUUAACUAAUCCCUUAAAUCGGACACCUGACGAGGAUCAGUUAACCGGUUAACUGGGGUACCCGCAAACACCGGAACGUAAUUGGACUGACAGGAAGAUGCUAGACGUUUCAACCGGUGCGAACUAGUAGCGUCGGGAAUCAUAGUUUUAAAUGCAUCAGCUAUUUAAAAAAUUCCCUUAUUUAGAAGCUACAAGAGGUGUACAUUUUUCAUCCGGACAUAAGCUAACAGCGGUCCACUAAAACCCGCACUUGGACAGCGCCGUGUCCUCGCUGCUUUAUGUCGGAUUUAUGAGGAGGCAAAUGGAAGAAAAACACGAGGCGGCGCGUGUUUAUUGUCCGAGCCGUGCAAGCUCGCGUGCUUUCCACCGCCACUUCUCACGUUGUUUCGCGGUCUUUCGAGUCGCGGACAUAGGACACGUACAGGCGUAACAACCCACGACUAUGGGCUUCUGCACUCUUUCCAUGCACUCCCCAUUCGACCGUCGGGCAUUAUCCAAGGAAACGCUCGAGUGCUGGCUGAAAAUGUUCUCGGUGACUUUCUGAAAGCCAUCUUAACUUUCGAGCGUCGCUGAACCCCGCAAGUAGCUUUGUUCAGCGGUUUAUGAAUUUUGAGGUUAGGUUAACCUUAACCGCUUAGAGGAGGCAGCUCUAUGUCUGGCUUUUCACGUGUGCACCCCUCGGCAGGGUGAGAGAUCAGGGUUCGCGAUUCUCUCGUAGAAAUCUGAAGGAAUGGUGGAAGGGAGCAACGCGUGUAUCGAUUCCGGCUCAAUAAAAAAGUCAUUCGAGAGCUGCAAAGGCAUGGUAUUGGCUGUAAAACGUUCACCGACUGAUAACAUCCAGUUGCAGCGAGUGGUGGGUGGCUUCCUGGCUGGUUGGCUCUUUUUCUCCCUCUACCCCAGCCCCUGAGUGGCGAUGGCCUGAUGGGACAGGGGGCAGGGGAGAAGACUGCGCCAGGAUGCCGAGGAUCAGGCCGUUAUUUAGUUAAUGACUAUUCUCUCGCUCGUAGGCGCUGCCAGGUCUGGAAUACAAGAUCGUGUUUGAGAUGCUCCGCGUGCUGCCGUUGCUGUUGCUGUUGCUGAUGCUGCUAACCCCGGAUCCGGGUGCGGGGCCCGGACUGUUCCGCUGCCUCGCUAUCUCGUGUAACUGAGAAUGAGAAUGCCGUGGCCCUGGUGCACGCUGCUAUUGCACGCGUGUCCUUGCGCUACCGCCACCAGUUUCGGUCAGCGCCGCAAUCACCACCGGGAAUGUUACGUAUGCGAGAGAAGGAACGGCUGGCAGGGAAUUUAGGAACGAUAUCGUGGAACCGAUAUUACGUUUAUUAUAGGCUCAAUGCUUUGGAUAGCGCAAUUAGCCUCUUUUCAUAACCUUUUGAUGGGCUUCCCUCCAAGUCAAUAGAGAAAUUAGAUCUCACCGUUAAAGAACAGACGAGUUUGCACCGACUAACCAGGAUUAAAAAGUUCCUAAAUCCA